rnacentral:rRNA from 1 species
UAGCGAAGGGGGCUAGCGUUGCUCGGAAUGACUGGGCGUAAAGGGCGCGUAGGCGGCUCAUACAGUCAGGCGUGAAAUUCCUGGGCUCAACCCGGGAAGUGCACUCGAUACUGCUUGGCUGGAGUGUGGGAGAGGUUGGUGGAAUUCUCGGUGUAGAGGUGAAAUUCGUAGAUAUCGAGAGGAACACCGGCGGCGAAGGCGGCCAACUGGACCAACACUGACGCUGGAGAACACGAAAGCCGUGGGGAGCAAACAGG